UACAGAGGGUGCGAGCGUUAAUCGGAGUUACUGGGCGUAAAGGGCGCGUAGGCGGUUAUAUAAGUGAGAUGUGAAAUCCCUGGGCUUAACCUAGGAACUGCAUCUCAUACUGUAUGACUGGAGUAUUGUAGAGGGUAGUGGAAUUUCCGGUGUAGCGGUGAAAUGCGUAGAGAUCGGAAGGAACACCAGUGGCGAAGGCGGCUACCUGGACAAAUACUGACGCUGAGGCGGCGAGAGCGUGGGGGAGCA
rnacentral:rRNA from 1 species